rnacentral:tRNA from 1 species
CCGCGGGUAGUUCAGGGGUAGAACGGGGGACUGUAAAUCCCUAUGUCGGUGGUUCAAAUCCAUCCCUGCGGACCA